rnacentral:rRNA from 1 species
AGAGUUUGAUCCUGGCUCAGGAUGAACGCUAGCUACAGGCUUAACACAUGCAAGUCGAGGGGAAACGACAUCGAAAGCUUGCUUUUGAUGGGCGUCGACCGGCGCACGGGUGAGUAACGCGUAUCCAACCUGCCCACCACUUGGGGAUAACCUUGCGAAAGUAAGACUAAUACCCAAUGACGUCUCUAGAAGACAUCUGAAAGGGAUUAAAGAUUUAUCGGUGAUGGAUGGGGAUGCGUCUGAUUAGCUUGUGGCGGGGUAACGGCCACCAAGGCUACGAUCAGUAGGGGUUCUGGAGAGGAAGGUCCCCCANAUUGGAACUGAGACACGGUCCAAACUCCUACGGGAGGCA